rnacentral:misc_RNA from 1 species
CGACGCAAAAGGCCCCACAUGUCUCAAGAAAGCCAGGGAGAAGAAGAAUCUGGUAGACAUGUUGUUUUACAAAGGGAAAUGUAGCCGGAUGUGCCAGGAUUACAUCGCGACCUGUAAUCAGAAAGAUCAAUUGUUCAUCUUGAAAAGAAAUUCUGAUGUGCACACCCGGAUGGACACGCUCAGCUGCCUAGUGUCGUCGGAGAAGAUGGCGCUGGAUUAUCUCGUGAGGGUGAUCGAGCAUUGCCGAGAUCCUCCUCUUGUGGGAUCCGUGUGCGCGCUGCUCCACGACGCCCUGUCGCCCAGCAAUAAAGGCGACCUUCGCAACACAGUGAUCCAGACGUGCCUGUCCCUGAACGCGGCCGAGGUGAUCCUGCGGACGCUGAAGGCCCUUUCGGCGGAGGGCCUGGCCGCCAUCGACCCCUGCAUCCACCCUGCCUAUCAGGUGCUCGCCAAACUCGCGUCGAAAGACCCAAAAUUAGCUGUAAAGGCGAGGCUGGUAGGGGGAGUGAAGCUGACCCACCAACUGCUGCAAGCCCACAUGAAGAAUUGUGUUCCUCUUCUCCCGUUGUUGAUGGUCACCAAGUACCUUGCGAAGAAUUCAACAAACCAGGUGAUGCUGGGGAAGGAUGGGUGCGUGGCGACACUAGUGACCAUCCUCAGCUCAGUGCCAAAGACCCACUGGGCGAAGAUCAAGUUCAUCAUGGAAACACUGGCUCUCCUUACAAAAGCUAAGAGCAAUGUGAUUCGGUUGGUGAGAGAGACGGGACUGCAGCGUGUUCUCGCCAUCUUGGACGCGUGGGAGAAGAUUGAGCGGCGACACCAGGUCAAGGUCAUUAAGGGAAUACUUGGCACUUUAUCACACAUGUGUGAUUCCAAACAUGGUCGAAAAGCUGUGGUGGCACUUAAUGGUGUUGAAAUCACACAGCGUUUCAUACAGUCCUGUCCAGCAGACAAGAAGUUUGACAAUAACCUCGCAAAUGCCACCAACGUUUUCCUGAAGUGUAUCAGCAAAGGAGAACUACCAGUGUCUUCCAGCUGGGGGGCAUUCACCUUCCAAGUGCCAAAUAGGGAGGGAUCCGAAACAAGCUCAGACAGGUCCCGUGAAGCAACUCCAGGCGUAGAUAUGGAUUCUUCAGAUGAGGAAGCAGAAGAGGAAAUCGAGGAUGAAGAGGAGGACUUUGAACUUUCUCAGGACUUCAAAGGAAUAGAUUUAGCCUCCGAUUAUUGCCCACAGAAGCCGAGAAUGGAGGAACUGGUGAAAAUAGCACACUUGUUCCCUGAGCUUUUCAAUUUCCGCAUUGCCAGCGGUACGAGGUUUAAGGAAGUUGCAGUUCCAAUCAGAAGAGGGGCUCUUAAUGAUGUGAUCCCAGAGAGCCACAAUGAGCGUUACAUAAGAGCUUCUGACUGCACACGGAGUAUUAUUAACUUUGUCAAAGUGGCUUAUCCUGACAUGGUUGGUGCUCGUGGCCCCAGUCACUUAGAGGAGCUCUAUGAGAAGGACAGAAGAGUGUGCAGGAAUAAGGCGAUUGCAACUGUGGAGAGAGUGCUUCAUCCAGAGGUCUACAUGGAACGCGUUGUGUACGACUUAGAUUACCUCCUAGAGUCAGAACAUUCGAGACGUCUCAUUACCCCAAGCAGUAAUACCAGCAGAUCUCUGGGUAAUUGGGAUGAGAAACGUGUUGGCAAACGCGACGUCUCAGUCCAGCACUUGAAUUUCGAAUCAAGAUUUGAGAGUGGCAAUUUACGCAGAGUAAUUCAGGCAUCAAAUACUGAAUAUGAUUUGAUUCUAAAUGCUGAUGUUAACUCCUCGCAUCACCACCAGUGGUUCUAUUUUGAAGUCAGCAAUAUGGAGCCACAUACUCCAUAUGUCUUCAACAUUAUAAAUAAUGAAAAGCCAAAUAGUGAAUUCAAUUUUGGAAUGAAGCCCGUCAUGUUUAGUGUGUGUGAAGCCAUGAAAGGCAGAGGUGCCUGGGUCCGUACGGGAACGGACAUCUGCUACCACAAAAACCACUACUCGCGGAUACCAAAAAGCCAUGAUAAUGUGCGCUUCAAGAAGUCAGUCAACAAGUGCUAUUAUACAGCUACCUUCACCGUCACAUUUCCUCAUGCUUAUGACGUGUGCUAUUUAGCUUAUCAUUAUCCAUACACUUAUACACAGUUGCAGGCUUACUUAAACAAACAAGAUUCUAUAGAAAGAGCAAGUGAUAUCUUCUACAGUAACCAGUCCUUGUGUCACACACUUAACGGGAACCCAGUCCCCCUCUUGACUGUUACUACCAAAGAAAAUGUUAAGGAAAAGGAAGUGAUAUUCCUGACAGCACGUGUGCAUCCUGGAGAGAGCAACGCCUCCUGGGUCAUGGAGGGAAUACUUGACUUCCUGCUGACGGACACAGCUGCGUCACGUCUCCUGUUGCAGAACUUCAUUUUCAAGAUUGUACCCAUGCUUAACCCAGAGGGCGUCAUCCAUGGAAACCAGAGAUGUGGGCUGACGGACGAGGACCUGAACCGGCGCUGGCGAUCUCCGAACCCCAACCUCCACCCCAGCAUCUACAACGCGAAGUCCCUGUUGGAGUACCUGACGAGCAUCUCGAAGCAGAAGGUGCGAGUGUUCUGCGACCUGCACGGCCACUCGAGGCAGAAGAACGUGUUCAUGUACGGGUGUUCGCGCAUGCAGUCCUGGUGGCUGGGCGACAAGGAGUUCCUGGACCACCCCGAUUUCAUGCUGCUGCCGAGAUUAGCGCAGAGCUGCAUGGCCACCUUCUCCCAGCGCGACUGCCACUUCCAGAUCGAGCGCGCGAGGGAGUCCACGGCCCGGGUCGCGGUGUGGAGGCAGUUCGAGAUACCCAUGUCCUAUACCAUGGAGGCGUCGACGUGUGGCUGCGACCAGGGGCCCUACAAGAACUAUCACCUUAGUCCAAAGCAGCUGCAGGAAUCGGGAGAGGGCUUCUGCGUUGCCUUGUCCUACCUGAUCUCCACGCCUGAAGUCCUGAAUUCACGACUGAGGCUCAAUUCAGACAGUGAUGAUGAUCAUGAUGAUGAUGAUGAUGAUCACGGUGGAGCUGGCAGUGAUAGUGAUAGUGGUGGUGAGUAGGUGUCAGGGCAAGCAUUGGUCUGAGUUCGCCAGGAGAAGUGGUCUCAUUCUCCGCUUUCUCCAGAUUGGAAUGUCACGUGAGAAUGGUUGCCGAGAGAAGCCUAGGGGACUUCACCCAAGAAGUGGCCUUUUGGAGCGGCGACCUCGACGAUGACCUUGAUACAGACGAUGACCUGGAUCUUGAUCUGUAUGGUCCUGUUUAACUAGAUGAUUUGUGUUCGUGGAGAUUUCUGUAUUACUUGAUAUAAAGCUGCAGUAAGUUUCA